AAACUAAAAUAUACUCUAAUAAUCAGGGCGGGCUAAACAUUCGCUAUAUUAAGACCAUGCACGUGUCCCCAAACCUAGUUCUUUCCCUUGGUCUGGUUUUAUAAAUGCUGGUGAUAAAC